rnacentral:rRNA from 1 species
UUAAGCGACUAAGCGUACACGGUGGAUGCCCUGGCAGUCAGAGGCGAUGAAGGACGUGCUAAUCUGCGAAAAGCGUCGGUAAGGUGAUAUGAACCGUUACAACCGGCGAUGUCCGAAUGGGGAAACCCAGUGCAAUUCGUUGCACUAUCGUUAACUGAAUACAUAGGUUAACGAGGCGAACCGGGGGAACUGAAACAUCUAAGUACCCCGAGGAAAAGAAAUCAACCGAGAUUCCCCCAGUAGCGGCGAGCGAACGGGGAGCAGCCCAGAGUCUGAAUCAGCUUGUGUGUUAGUGGAACGGUCUGGAAAGUCCGACGGUACAGGGUGAUAGUCCCGUACACCAAAAUGCACAGGUUGUGAACUCGAAGAGUAGGGCGGGACACGUGGUAUCCUGUCUGAAUAUGGGGGGACCAUCCUCCAAGGCUAAAUACUCCUGACUGACCGAUAGUGAACCAGUACCGUGAGGGAAAGGCGAAAAGAACCCCGGCGAGGGGAGUGAAAAAGAACCUGAAACCGUGUACGUACAAGCAGUGGGAGCACCUUCGGGUGUGACUGCGUACCUUUUGUAUAAUGGGUCAGCGACUUAUAUUCUGUAGCAAGGUUAACCGUAUAGGGGAGCCGCAGGGAAACCGAGUCUUAACUGGGCGUUAAGUUGCAGGGUAUAGACCCGAAACCCGGUGAUCUAGCCAUGGGCAGGUUGAAGGUUGGGUAACACUAACUGGAGGACCGAACCGACUAAUGUUGAAAAAUUAGCGGAUGACUUGUGGCUGGGGGUGAAAGGCCAAUCAAACCGGGAGAUAGCUGGUUCUCCCCGAAAGCUAUUUAGGUAGCGCCUCGUGAACUCAUCUUCGGGGGUAGAGCACUGUUUCGGCUAGGGGGUCAUCCCGACUUACCAACCCGAUGCAAACUACGAAUACCGAAGAAUGUUAUCACGGGAGACACACGGCGGGUGCUAACGUCCGUCGUGAAGAGGGAAACAACCCAGACCGCCAGCUAAGGUCCCAAAGUCAUGGUUAAGUGGGAAACGAUGUGGGAAGGCACAGACAGCCAGGAUGUUGGCUUAGAAGCAGCCAUCAUUUAAAGAAAGCGUAAUAGCUCACUGGUCGAGUCGGCCUGCGCGGAAGAUGUAACGGGGCUAAACCAUGCACCGAAGCUGCGGCAGCGACACUAUGUGUUGUUGGGUAGGGGAGCGUUCUGUAAGCCUGCGAAGGUGACCUGUGAGGGUUGCUGGAGGUAUCAGAAGUGCGAAUGCUGACAUAAGUAACGAUAAAGCGGGUGAAAAGCCCGCUCGCCGGAAGACCAAGGGUUCCUGUCCAACGUUAAUCGGGGCAGGGUGAGUCGACCCCUAAGGCGAGGCCGAAAGGCGUAGUCGAUGGGAAACAGGUUAAUAUUCCUGUACUUGGUGUUACUGCGAAGGGGGGACGGAGAAGGCUAUGUUAGCCGGGCGACGGUUGUCCCGGUUUAAGCAUGUAGGCUGGUUAUCCAGGCAAAUCCGGAUAAUCAAGGCUGAGGUGUGAUGACGAGGCACUACGGUGCUGAAGUAACAAAUGCCCUGCUUCCAGGAAAAGCCUCUAAGCAUCAGGUAACAUCAAAUCGUACCCCAAACCGACACAGGUGGUCAGGUAGAGAAUACCAAGGCGCUUGAGAGAACUCGGGUGAAGGAACUAGGCAAAAUGGUGCCGUAACUUCGGGAGAAGGCACGCUGGUGUGUAGGUGAAGCCCCUGCGGGUGGAGCUGAGACCAGUCGAAGAUACCAGCUGGCUGCAACUGUUUAUUAAAAACACAGCACUGUGCAAACACGAAAGUGGACGUAUACGGUGUGACGCCUGCCCGGUGCCGGAAGGUUAAUUGAUGGGGUUAUCCGUAAGGAGAAGCUCUUGAUCGAAGCCCCGGUAAACGGCGGCCGUAACUAUAACGGUCCUAAGGUAGCGAAAUUCCUUGUCGGGUAAGUUCCGACCUGCACGAAUGGCGUAAUGAUGGCCAGGCUGUCUCCACCCGAGACUCAGUGAAAUUGAACUCGCUGUGAAGAUGCAGUGUACCCGCGGCAAGACGGAAAGACCCCGUGAACCUUUACUAUAGCUUGACACUGAACAUUGAGCCUUGAUGUGUAGGAUAGGUGGGAGGCUUUGAAGCGUGGACGCCAGUCUGCGUGGAGCCAACCUUGAAAUACCACCCUUUAAUGUUUGAUGUUCUAACGUUGGCCCCU